ACAGGGUAUCACUCUGUUGCCCAAGGUGGAGUGCAGCAGUAUGAUCACAGCUCACUGCAGCCCCGAACUCCCGGGGUCAAGCAAUCCUCCCACCUCAGCUUCCCAAGUUUCUGAGAUUACAGCCCAAAGUCUCCUCAGCAACACUUCCUGUGAGACUACAGGAAUGAAGGGUGCCCGUGUGAUCAGUCAGAUCAAUUAGCAUAUCGAAACUGAGAAAGACAGAUUUAAAGUCCAAGGAGUUUUUGUUGCAAAUUGUGCACAUGUUAGAUGCUUCAUUUACAAUAUAACCACAGGUGGAACUGAAAAGAAACAAAGACAAUGAUAAAAUGUGAUGCCCUAAGUGACAAAUUUCAUCUCUAGCAGAAAAAGAAUUAUCACUAAAAACUCUACGUCAGUGUAUGGAAAACUUACUCAGUGUUCAGUGGUGUGCAGUGUGCCAGACAGUCGUAAAAAACAGUAAAACACACUUUCUAUGCAGCCAUUCUCAGAAUUCAUCUGAAACUGCGUACACCAGUCCUCCGCCUGCCCUCUCUUCUUCCCUCCCUCUGCCGAGUUCCUGCCAAGCCCUCCAGGUCCCUCCCAGUCUCAUUUCCCUGCUGGCGCCCUCCCUUCUUGCAUCCCAGCCCGAAGCCUUUCCCUCUUGGAACAGCAGCAGAACGCACACCUCAGGACUGACUCAUGCUGUCGCAUCAGCUCCUUGUUCUCACCUCCCCCACUGGGAGUUCUGAGGGCAGGAACUGUGUCUUGUGCCUGGAAAGCACGAGUUCAACAGCUGCUCACUGGAUGGUCCUGCAUGGGGCCUUCUCUACAAAUACAGAAAGCCUUGCAAGGCUGGCCGGGUGGCACCAGAUGCUAUUAACACUGCUGGUGAUACACCCUCCUCUCCUUCAGUGGUUUAUGCUAUUCCAAAUUUCUGAAGCAAGCCUUACUUUAGCAAUCUUGAACAGGGAACCUAAUUCAAAUUUCUCAAAUAGGGGAAAUGAACUAAAGACAGUGGAUUCUUGUCUAGCCACUUGGUUCAGCAAAUUGUAGAUGCUUUUCCUCAGAUAUCAAUAAUAAAUAUACAGG